UACGAAGGGGGCUAGCGUUGUUCGGAAUUACUGGGCGUAAAGCGCGCGCAGGCGGCUAUCCAAGUCAGUGGUGAAAGCCCGGAGCUCAACUCCGGAACUGCCAUUGAAACUGUUAAACUUGAGGACGAGAGAGGUGAGUGGAAUUCCCAGUGUAGAGGUGAAAUUCGUAGAUAUUGGGAAGAACACCAGUGGCGAAGGCGGCUCACUGGCUCGUAUCUGACGCUCAGGCGCGAUAGCGUGGGGAUCAAACAGG
rnacentral:rRNA from 1 species